rnacentral:rRNA from 1 species
CGGGUGAGUAACACGUGAGUGACCUGCCUUUUAGACUGGAACAACUUACCGAAAGGUGAGCUAAUGCCGGAUGAGUUAUAUAAGUGCAUGUUUAUAUAGGAAAAGUUGGGGAGACCUGACGCUGAAAGAUGGACUCGCGUCCCAUUAGCUAGUUGGUAGGGUAAUGGCCUACCAAGGCGACGAUGGGUAGCCGGCCUGAGAGGGUGGCCAGCCACACUGGGACUGAGACACGGCCCAGACUCCUACGGAAGGCAGCAG